rnacentral:rRNA from 1 species
UACAGAGGGGGCAAGCGUUGUUCGGAAUUACUGGGCGUAAAGGGCGCGUAGGCGGCUCUUUAAGUCGGGGGUGAAAUCCUGGAGCUCAACUCCAGAACUGCCUUCGAUACUGAAGAGCUUGAGUCCGGGAGAGGUGAGUGGAACUGCGAGUGUAGAGGUGAAAUUCGUAGAUAUUCGCAAGAACACCAGUGGCGAAGGCGGCUCACUGGCCCGGUACUGACGCUGAGGUGCGAAAGCGUGGGGAGCAAACAGG